GAUGAGAACGUAGCGAAAUGCGAUAAGUAAUGUGAAUUGCAGAAUUCAGUGAAUCAUCGAAUCUUUGAACGCACCUUGCACCCUUUGGCAUUCCGAAGGGUAUGCUCGUUUGAGUGUCAUUGUACUCUCACUCUCCCGAUGCUUUUGGAUCGGGAGUGGUGGACUUGGGUGUUGCUGCUUUGCUGUGGCUCGCCUCAAAUGGAGUAGUGCAACUCUUGGUUGGACAUAGUACGGCGUGAUAAGUGUCUUCGCCGGCGCCUCAUUAUAGAGGGUGGCCGAUCGGGAGCUCUGUGCUUCAAACCGUCUUCGGACAACAUCUGACAACUUGACCUCAAAUCGAGUAGGACUACCCGCUGAACUUAAGCAUAUCAAUAAGCGGAGGA
rnacentral:misc_RNA from 1 species